rnacentral:lncRNA from 1 species
UAAAAAACUAUGACUUUAAAAAAUUUCAAAAUCUUGGUACCAAGCACCAACUUAGUCCAGUCUCACAACCAAACAUAGCUUGCUUGAAAAGCAACUAAAUUUAAACAUUUCUUGCACCUACAGUUUGAAACUAGUCAUCAAUUGGGGAUUUAAAGAGUGAAUUGCAACCCUUAUGUCUAAAAAUCCAAGACCUUAAAAAAUUUCCAAAUCUUGGUACCAAGCAUCAACUUAGUCUAAUCUCACCACCAAACAAAGCUUGCUUUAAAAGCAACUAAAUUGAAACAUUUCUUACACCUAUAAUUUGACACUAGUCGUCAUUUGGGGGUUUAAGGAGUGCAUUGUAGCCCCUAAGUCUAAAAAACCAAGGCUUCCAAAUGUUUCCAAAUCUUGGCACGAAGCACUAACUUAGUCCAGUCUCACAACGAAAGAUAGCUUGCUUGAAAACCAACUCAAUUGAAAGAUUUCUUGCACCAAUAUUUUGUCACUGGUCGUUAUUUAGGGAUUUAAAGUUUGCAUUGCGGCCCCUAAGUCUAGAAAACCAAUACUUUUAAAUGUUUCCAAAUCUUGGCACGAAGCACCAACUUAUUCCAGUCUCACAACCAAACAUAGCUUGCUUGAAAAGCAACUACAUUGAGACAUUUCUUGCACCUAUAUUUUGACACUAGUCGUCAUUUGGGGAUUUAAAGAGUGGGUUGCGGCCNCUAAGUCUAAAAAACCAAGACCUUCAAAAAUUUCCAAAUCUUGGUACCAAUCACCAAAUUAGUCCAGUCUCACCACCAAACAUACCUUGCUUAAAAAGCUACUAAAUUGAGACAUUUCCUUUACCUACUUUUUGACACUAGUCGUCAAUUGGGGAUUUAAAGAGUGCAUUGCAACCCCAAAGUCUAAAACACCAAGACUUUAAAAAAUUUCCAGAUCUUGGAACCAAGCACCAACUUAGUCCAGUCUAACCACCAAACAUAGCUUGCUUUAAAAGGAACUAAAUUAAAACAUUUCUUCCACCUAUAUUUUGACACUAGUCGUCAUUUGGGGAUUUAAAGAGUGCAUUCAAGCCCCUAAAUCUAAAAAACUAAGACUUUAAAAAAUUUCAAAAUCUUGGUACCAAGCACCAACUUAGUCCAGUCUCACAACCAAACAUAGCUUGCUUGAAGAGCAACUAAAUUUACACAUUUCUUGUACCUACAUUUUGACACUAGUCCUCAAUUGGGGAUUUAAAGAGUGCAUUGCAACCCCUAAGUCUAAAAAACCAAGACUUUAAAAAAUUUCCAAAUCUUGGUAACACGCAUCAACUUCGUCCAAUCCCACCACCAAACAUAGUUUGCUUUAAAAGCAACUAAAUUGAAACAUUUCUUGCACCUAUAAUUUGACACUAGUCGUCAUUUGGGGGUUUAAGGAGUGCAUUGCAGCCCCUAAGUCUAAAAAACCAAGGCUUUCAAAUAUUUCCAAAUCUUGGCACGAAGCACUAACUUAGUCCAGUCUCACAACCAAACAUAGCUUGCUUGAAAAGCAACUAAAUUGAAACAUAUCUUGCACCUGUAUUUUGACA